GCUCCCUUCAGCAGUACAUAUACUAAAAUAGGAAUGAUAAAGAGAAGAUUAUCAUGGACCUGUGCAAGGAUGAUACACAAAUUCGUGAAGUGUUUCAUAUUUUU
ensembl:snRNA U6 U6 spliceosomal RNA